GCUGAUGUCAGCUACUGGGCAGUUGACUACGGAGCCGCAAUAAAUCUCUGGACAUCAAGGUUCGGGUGAACUCCCCUGGUGGGCAAUAUUCCAGGUGUAUCGUCACUCAUCGUUGCUGGAGGAGUUAACACUGUCUGGGACUCCACUGGGGGAAGACAGCUGGAAGCUCCGUGUUGGGUCCUCCUGGACUUUGCCCCAUGCAUCUCAUCUCUUGGCUGAUUUUAAUCUGUGCUCUUUCCCUGUAAUACAUCAUAAUUGUGGGAAGGGACAUCCAUGGAAUCUAACAGAGCUUCAGGAAUCAUGCUCAGCUCACCAAUUUCUGUGACCUGAAGUUGCUCUUCUCCCUCUUAUCUCCUGUGAGUGUCUACUGAGGAUCACUCACUCUUGAGAAGCUGGCUACCAUGUCAUAAGGAUACUCGAGCAGCCCUGGAAGAGGCCCAUGUUGG